AGCAUCUCUGCUGCUGAGCUUUGAAAGUUUCAAAAAGCUUUUGCUUAAAUGGAGGUUGUUUUGUUAAGGCUUUUGGAAGAAUGGAUGCAGCAGAUUUUUUGCAAGGAUAUUAUCUUCAUGUGUA